rnacentral:rRNA from 1 species
UACGUACGAGGCAAGCGUUGUUCGGAGUUACUGGGCGUAAAGGGUGCGUAGGCGGCUUUUUAAGUUUGGUGUGAAAUCUCCCGGCUCAACUGGGAGGGUGCGCCGAAUACUGAGAGGCUAGAGUGUGGGAGAGGAAAGUGGAAUUCCUGGUGUAGCGGUGAAAUGCGUAGAUAUCAGGAGGAACACCGGUGGUGUAAACGGCUUUCUGGACCAUAACUGACGCUGAGGCACGAAAGCGUGGGUAGCAAACAGG